AAAUACCGCCCUCAUCCGUCGUCACAUCCUCUUUCCAUUGCUCUUCUCGCGCUGAGAACCUUCUCCACACGAUGAGAGCUAAGUGGAGGAAGAAGCGUAUGCGCAGACUGAAGCGUAAAAGGCGAAAGAUGAGGCAGAGGUCAAAGUAAGCCCUCAUCGCUGCCAGCUGUGAUCCCGUCUGAGCCUUUCCUGAUGACAACGCAUGUGGCUGAAGUGCAGCCUCAAUCAGUGGAACAAAGGCCUAAACCCUGAUUCAGAUGACUGGGGCAUGUCUGACUGGAAGAGGCAAAGGCGCUGGACGAUCAACAUCAGAAUUGCAGCUGCUUUGUUCAUGGACCAGAAUACAACUGUCAUUGGUGUAUAACAAUAAAUGGAACACUCUUUAAAAUUUA